rnacentral:misc_RNA from 1 species
CAACCCUCAAGCCCCAGUGGCCUGGUGUUGGGGACCGGCGACCUCGCCCGGGGGAAACACCCCCGGCGCGUCCGCCGCCCCCGAAAUGAAUUGGCGGCCCCGUCGCGGCCUCCUCUGCGUAGUAGCACAACCUCGCAGCGGGAGCGCGACGCGGCCACUGCCGUAAAACGCCCAACUUUUUUUUAG